UUUUUUUUAAUUUGAUAUCUUAAAUUGCGUUUAAGAUUUUCCUACAUAUUUCUACUUGCCCUUUUUUAUUGAUGUCUUGACAAAAUCCAAUUUUUCCCUUUUUGUUCAGAUGAAAGGCGUUAAAAUCAAUCUCCUGUCUUGUUUAUUGAAGAUAUAUCAAAGAUAAAAAGUACGUGUUCAUACAUGUUCAUAUAUGAUUAAACAAAACAAAAUACACAUAAUUCUG
rnacentral:lncRNA from 1 species